UUGAUGUUACUGGAAUAUGGA
ensembl:piRNA 21ur-12886 ncRNA